rnacentral:rRNA from 1 species
GGUCAAGCGAAGAAGGGCCUACGGUGGAUGCCUGGGCGCCUGGGGCCGAAGAAGGACGGGGCAAGCGCCGAAACGCUCCGGGGAGCCGCAAGCGGGCAUUGAUCCGGAGAUAUCCGAAUGGGGCAACCCGCACCGGGUGAUGCCGGUGCAUCCGGCGCUGAAUCCAUAGGCGUCGGAAGGGAACCCGGGGAAGUGAAACAUCUCAGUACCCGGAGGAGGAGAAAGCAACUGCGAUUCCCUUAGUAGCGGCGAGCGAACGGGGAAGAGCCCAAACCGGCCGGAUGGCAAAGCCCACCGGCGUUGUCCGGCCGGGGUUGGAGGGCUGUACGGCGGGUGGCGGUGGCCGCCCGGGCCGGGAUGCGGGAGCGAGGCGAAGGGGUCUGGAAGGGCCCACCAUAGCGGGUGAGAGUCCCGUAGCCGAAGCUUUGGCAUCCGGGUGGUACAGUACCUGAGUACCACGGGGCACGAGGAAUCCUGUGGGAAGCGGGGAGGCCCACCUCCCAAGGCUAAAUACGCCAGGCGACCGAUAGCGGACCAGUACCGCGAGGGAACGGUGAAAAGCACCCCUGACGGGGAGUGAAACAGAACCUGAAACCGUAGGCCUGCAAAGCAGUCGGAGGGCCAGGCCCUACCCAGGGCGGCCUGACGGCGUCCUUAUUGAGGAACGGGCCGGCGAGUGGCGGUAGGCAGCGAGGGGAAGGGGCAGAAGCUCCGGACCCGGAGGGAAACCGAGUCCGAACAGGGCGACGAGUUGCCUGCUGCCGACCCGAAGCCGGGUGAUCUACCCAUGGCCAGGGUGAAGCCGGGUUAACCCCCGGUGGAGGCCCGAACCACGUGGUCGUUGAAAAGACCUGGGAAGAGCUGUGGGUAGGGGUGAAAUGCCAAUCGAACCCGGUGAUAGCUGGUUCUCCCCGAAAUCGCUUGAGGGCGAGCCUUCCGGGGGACGGUGGCGGAGGUAGAGCACUGAUCGGGUGAGGGGUCGUUACGGCUACCGAUCCCGUUCAAACUCCGAAUGCCGCCAUCGGGUCCGGAGGAGUCAGACGGCGGGGGAUAAGCUUCGUCGUCGAGAGGGGAACAGCCCAGACCGGCCGCUAAGGUCCCGAAGUGCAGGCUGAGUGGGUAAGGAUGUGGGGUCGCCCAGACAACCAGGAUGUGGGCUUAGAGGCAGCCAUCAUUCAAAGAGUGCGUAAUAGCUCACUGGUCAAGCGGCCCUGCGCCGAAAAUGGAACGGGACUAAGCCUGCCACCGAAGCGCCGGACGGCCCGGAGCACCGGGUCGUGGUAGGGGAGCAUUCCGCUUCCGGCGAAGCCCGAGCGCAAGCCCGGGUGGAGGGGGCGGAAGGGAGAAUGUCGGCAUAAGUAGCGACAAGGCCGGUGAGAAUCCGGCCCGCCGAAAGCCGGAGGGUUCCUGAGCAAGGUUCGUCCGCUCAGGGUUAGUCGGGACCUAAGCCGAGGCCGAAAGGCGUAGGCGAUGGACAACGGGUUGAUAUUCCCGUACCACCUCGUGCCGUGACGAGCGAGGGGGGGACGCAGGGGGGCCAGCCAGCCCGGCGGUGGAGAGGCCGGGUCCAAGCGCCUAGGCGGGAGCGGCAGGCAAAUCCGCCGCUCCACGACGCCGAGACGUGACGGGGAGCGCCCGCAAGGGUGCGAACUGGGGACGCCCGGACUGCCGAGAAAAGCCUCUAGCCAGGCACGAGGUGCCCGUACCGCAGACCGACACAGGUCGGCGAGGCGAAAAGCCACAGGCGCGCGAGAGAACCCCCGUUAAGGAACUCGGCAAGUUGACCCCGUAACUUCGGGAGAAGGGGUGCCCCGGUAGGGUGAGAGCCCCAAGCGGGCUCGAGCCCGAGGGGGCCGCAGGAAACGGCCCAGGCGACUGUUUACCAAAAACACAGGUCUCUGCGAAGCCGCAAGGCGACGUAUAGGGGCUGACGCCUGCCCAGUGCCGGAAGGUUAAGGGGAGAGGUUAGCCCGCAAGGGCGACGCUUCGAACCAAAGCCCCGGUGAACGGCGGCCGUAACUAUAACGGUCCUAAGGUAGCGAAAUUCCUUGUCGGGUAAGUUCCGACCUGCACGAAUGGCGUCACGACCUGGGCGCUGUCUCAACGGGGGGCUCGGCGAAAUUGUGGAAGGAGUGAAGACGCUCCUUACCCGCGGCUAGACGGAAAGACCCCGUGGAGCUUUACUGCAGCCUGGUAUGGGAUGCCGGUCGGGGAUGUAGAGGAUAGGUGGGAGGCGCAGAAGCCGGGGCGCCAGCUCCGGUGGAGCCGACGGUGGAAUACCACCCUUCUCGGGCGGGCGUUCUAACCCGGGCCCGUGAUCCGGGCCGGGGACAGUACCUGGUGGGCAGUUUGACUGGGGCGGUCGCCUCCCAAACGGUAACGGAGGCGUCCCAAGGUUCCCUCAGCGCGGUCGGACAUCGCUGCUGCGAGUGCAAAGGCAUAAGGGAGCUUGACUGCGAGAGCGACAGCUCGAGCAGGCGCGAAAGCGGGGCUUAGUGACCCGGUGGUGCCGAGUGGAAGGGCCAUCGAUCAACGGAUAAAAGCUACCCCGGGGAUAACAGGCUGAUCUCCCCCGAGAGUCCACAUCGACGGGGAGGAUUGGCACCUCGAUGUCGGCUCAUCGCAUCCUGGGGCUGGAGUCGGUCCCAAGGGUUGGGCUGUUCGCCCAUUAAAGCGGUACGUGAGCUGGGUUCAGAACGUCGUGAGACAGUUCGGUCCCUAUCUGCCGCGGGCGCCGGAGAUCUGCGGGGAGCCGUCCCCAGUACGAGAGGACCGGGACGGACGCACCGCUGGUGUGCCAGUUGUCCUGCCCGGGGCACGGCUGGACAGCUACGUGCGGACGGGAUAAGCGCUGAAGGCAUCUAAGCGCGAAGCCCACCCCCAGAUGAGAUCUCCCCCCUCCUCGGGAGGGUAAGACCCCUGGAAGAUGACCAGGUGAUAGGCCGGGGGUGUACGGCGGGUAACCGCCUCAGCUACCCGGUCCUAAUCGGUCGAGGGCUUGACCGC